rnacentral:rRNA from 1 species
GCAUAUCAAUAAGCGGAGGAAAAGAAACCAACAGGGAUUGCCUUAGUCCCGGCGAGUGAAGCGGCAACAGCUCAAAUUUGAAAGCUGGCCCUUUCAGGGUCCGCAUUGUAAUUUGUAGAGGAUGAUUCGGCGAGGGCUCCCGCCUAAGUCCCCUGGAACGGGGCGUCAUAGAGGGUGAGAAUCCCGUAUGCGGUGGGUUGCCUUAGCCAUGUGAAUCUCCUUCGACGAGUCGAGUUGUUUGGGAAUGCAGCUCUAAAUGGGAGGUAAAUUUCUUCUAAAGCUAAAUACCGGCCAGAGACCGAUAGCGCACAAGUAGAGUGAUCGAAAGAUGAAAAGCACUUUGGAAAGAGAGUUAAAAAGUACGUGAAAUUGUUGAAAGGGAAGCGCUUGCAACCAGACUUGUCCGCAGUUGCUCAGCCGGUCUUCUGACCGGCGUACUCUUCUGCGGCCAGGCCAGCAUCAGUUCGGGCGGUCGGAUAAAGACCUCGGGAAUGUAGCUCCUCUCGGGGAGUGUUAUAGCCCGGGGUGGAAUGCGGCCAGCCUGGACUGAGGAUCUCGCUUCGGCAAGGAUGCUGGCGUAAUGGUUGUAAGCGGCCCGUCUUGAAACACGGACCAAGGAGUCUAACAUCUAUGCGAGUGUUUGGGUGUCAAACCCAUACGCGUAAUGAAAGUGAACGGAGGUGGGAACCCGCAAGGGUGCACCAUCGGCCGAUCCUGAUGUCUUCGGAUGGAUUUGAGCAAGAGCAUAGCUGUUGGGACCCGAAAGAUGGUGAACUAUGCCUGAAUAGGGUGAAGCCAGAGGAAACUCUGGUGGAGGCUCGCAGCGGUUCUGACGUGCAAAUCGAUCGUCAAAUUUGGGUAUAGGGGCGAAAGACUAAUCGAACCAUCUAGUAGCUGGUUCCUGCCGAA